AACGAACGCUGGUGGCAUGCCUAAUACAUGCAAGUCGAACGAGAAAGCACUUCGGUGUGAGUACAGUGGCGCACGGGUGAGUAACGCGUAGAUGAUAUGCCUUUUAGUGGGGGACAACAGUUGGAAACGACUGCUAAUACCGCAUAAGCUUAGUGACAUUGAAAAAGCUAAGGAAAGGGGGCUUCGGCUCUCGCUAAAAGAUUGGUCUGCGUGACAUUAGCUUGUUGGUGGGGUAAUGGCCUACCAAGGCAACGAUGUCUAGCUGGUCUGAGAGGAUGAUCAGUCACACUGGAACUGAGACACGGUCCAGACUCCUACGGGAGGCAGCAGUAGGGAAUAUUGCACAAUGGGGGAAACCCUGAUGCAGCAAUGCCACGUGAGUGAGGAAUGCCUUCGGGUUGUAAAGCUCUGUCCUAUAGGAAGAACGGCAUUAUGGUUAAUACCCAUAGUGUUUGACGGUACUAUAGAAGAAAGCACCGGCUAACUCCG
rnacentral:rRNA from 1 species